rnacentral:lncRNA from 1 species
CCCUUAUCUUUGGCCUGCAAAAGGAGAAACAACCAAGAAAUGCUGAAAGCGGGAAAAUCUGCUGCAUUCCAAAGGGGAACCCAGCCAUGGGCUCAUCAAUGAAGCAAAAAUUCUGCCAUCUUCCUUAGGUGAAGUCAGUCAUUCCCAAGACAGCUGAGAUGCCUGAGACAGACUAGAUGUCCCAAAAGCAUUAAAUUGUGAGACUCAAGUGGUACAUCCUCCCUCAGUUCCCUACAGCUCUGAUCACCACAGCUGAAGCACUAUGGCAGAUAAAAGAGAAGCUGAUAUCUCGAAAGACUGUCUCAUUGCACAGGAACAGCGUUUGCAGGAAAACAAGCUGGAACAAUUAGCAAUGCUGAAUCGGGAGAGAGCGUGGAUAAGAAGGAUGUGACAGAUUCAUACUCCCCGCUCCUCAUGUCUGUCAUGGAGAAGGUAAAAUGGGUGCUUCUCAUUAGCCUUUCACAUAACAGAAGAACAAGAUGUUAACUUAAAGGCAACAAAUUUGAAAUCUAAUCAAAUUUGAAAUGAUAAGAGGAAAUCAGAACAGUUAAUCUGAUAGAAUAACUAUUGAAACCAAGAACUUAGUGAAGCUAUAAUAAGGACUGGAUGUUUCUAUGUGCUAAUAAAGUAUCAAUUUAAUAUUUUCUCUGUCCCAUCUCAUAAGGUUAUAAUCUUCUGUGUCUCUAGAGAAGUCAGUUUACUAACAAAAAGAAAAGAAGUAGUCUUCCUUUCUAUGAUCAGGCAAAUCUGUUUGUUUACUACUUGGUUUUUCAUCAUCUUCUACAGUCUUGGGGAAUGGAAGAAUCAGUGACAUGGUAAUGGGUGGACUGUUCACCUGCUCCUUGACAACAAUUCCUGCAUUUUCACCUAUGAAGCUACUAACAAGAAGAAAAUGGAUAAAGUUCCAGGAAAUUUGUCUCAUGAGGAUUAGACAUGCUGCCAUCUGCAAUACAGACAUUUCUAUCAGCGGAUAUGGCCAGGAAAACCUGCUGUUUGUGAGUAAUUUAUUUUAAAAAUAAGUACUGUCUCUUAAAAGUGUAACUGGAGAGUGACAUGUAGCUCUAAAACUAAUCUUCUAGUUAGAAGCAGAAAAUAACGCACAUCAGUGACUAUCUGUAAGGCAAGUAGCAUGGGCAUGAAGAGGGAUG